rnacentral:rRNA from 1 species
UGGGGAAUUUUGGACAAUGGGCGAAAGCCUGAUCCAGCAAUGCCGCGUGUGUGAAGAAGGCCUUCGGGUUGUAAAGCACUUUUGUCCGGAAAGAAAUGGCUCUGGUUAAUACCUGGGGUCGAUGACGGUACCGGAAGAAUAAGGACCGGCUAACUACGUGCCAGCAGCCGCGGUAAUACGUAGGGUCCAAGCGUUAAUCGGAAUUACUGGGCGUAAAGCGUGCGCAGGCGGUUGUGCAAGACCGAUGUGAAAUCCCCGAGCUUAACUUGGGAAUUGCAUUGGUGACUGCACGGCUAGAGUGUGUCAGAGGGGGGUAGAAUUCCACGUGUAGCAGUGAAAUGCGUAGAGAUGUGGAGGAAUACCGAUGGCGAAGGCAGCCCCCUGGGAUAACACUGACGCUCAUGCACGAAAGCGUGGGGAGCAAACAGGAUUAGAUACCCUGGUAGUCCACGCCCUAAACGAUGUCAACUAGUUGUUGGGGGAUUCAUUUCCUUAGUAACGUAGCUAACGCGUGAAGUUGACCGCCU